CAAUAGCGUAUAUUUAAGUUGCUGCAGUUAAAAAGCUCGUAGUUGGAUUUCGGGUGGGAAUGGCCGGUCCGCCGUUUCGGUGUGCACUUGCUACGCCCACCUUGCUGCCGGGGACGUGCUCUUGAGUUCACGCUCGGGACACGGAGUCGGCGAGGUUACUUUGAGUAAAUUAGAGUGUUCAAAGCAGACCUACGCUCUGAAUACAUUAGCAUGGAAUAACACGAUAGGACUCUGGCCUAUCUUGUUGGUCUGUAGGACCGGAGUAAUGAUUAAGAGGGACAGUCGGGGGCAUUCGUAUUUCAUUGUCAGAGGUGAAAUUCUUGGAUUUAUGAAAGACGAACUACUGCGAAAGCAUUUGCCAAGGAUGUUUUCAUUAA
rnacentral:rRNA from 1 species